GGCAGCUUGGAAGAGGUACCUGCUUUCUAAUAAUUGCCUUUAGUGGGAACAGAAGUCUCCUUACAAGACGCUUUUAAUUCAUUUUAAGACUUAAUUUUAUGUUCUUUGAAGAACAACAAAAAAAAAUUUCUGGAAAAGACUGCUGAGAAGAUUUCCCUCUUUCAGCCAGAAGAGCAGAGAGAAGAUUGUAAAUCAAGGAAAAGAUUUCCCCCUUCAGAUCUAACGAUCACAUUAGGGCUCCUGCAUCUUUUUGGAAGGAUUCUUUUUAUAAAUCAGAAAGUGUUCGAGGUUCAAAGGUUUGCCUCGGAGCGUGUGAACAUUCCUCCGCUCGGUUUUCAACUCGCCUCCAACCUGCGCCACCCGGCCAGCAUGUCUCCCCGCCCG